rnacentral:rRNA from 1 species
GUCUAUGGCCAUACCACCCUGAACACUCCUGAUAUUGGAAGCUAAUAAGCAGGGUCGGGCCUGCUUAGUACUUGCUUGGAUGGGAGGUCCCUUAAUUAACUCUAUCUAUGUAAGCAAAUGGUUAUAAAAU